UCAUACGAUCACCGAAGUUAAGCAACGUAAAGCCAGGUUAGUAGUUAGAUGGGUGACGGCUUCGGAAUACGACUUGCUGUAAG